CAGGAAGAGUGUUCUUGGUCACAAUACUAUCUUGAAUCUGCCUAGACGUUUCUCCACAUUGACUUCCAUCUUUACUUUCAACAAAUCUCUCUAACAUACAACAUCUGUAAAAAAUGGGAAAUAUAUCACUAAAGGGCCAACCAUAUCCCCUUUCCAUAUUCCAAAUCUUUGAACAGCAUGAAUGACCAAGAAACAAAUGUCUCCAAUUAAAUAAGUGGAAAUGCGAUGUCAUCCUUACCUACACAAUCCAGGUUCCUGAUGGUUUCCUGCAUCACAUCUUUGUAGAGAUUCUUCUGACAAGGACCCAGCAAAGCCCACUCUUCUCGGGUGAAGUUCACAGCCACAUCCUCUAAAGCCACUGAGGCCUGAUCCAUCCCACAUGUACAGAGGAGGAAGGGUGAAAAUCACAGUACUGAGAAUCUAUACUCACUUCAUAAAUUUCACAUGAU